ensembl:lncRNA
UGAGAGUCGGCAGCUGCACGUUACCGGAGGAGGAUGGCGAGCUAACGGGAGAAUAGUCAAAAACAAUAGCCGUGGAUGCAGAGUCUACCGGCGAUCGUGGCUCAAGAGUUGGGAGUUCGCCUUGUAAUCGGACGGUUGCCGGUUCGAGCCUCGGCUCGGACAGUCUCGGUCGUUGUGUCCUUGGGCGAGACACUUCACCCGUUGCUGCCUACUGGUGGCGCCAGUGUCCGGCAGCCUCGCCUCUGUCAGUGCGCCCCACGGUGGCUGUGGCUGCAAUGUAGCUGCCAUCACCAGUGUGUGAAUGUGUAAAGCGCUCACAGGCUAUUUACCUUCCUGCUAUGCGCUGUUUACCCUGUGAUGAGUGAGUACUGAAUGUAGUAUUGAGCUUAAACAGAAUGUAGAAGAACUUAAAAUGUAUCAUGUUAGCAUUUUAGAGCCAGCAAUAGCUAUGUAUGCCGAGUAGUAGGCUACAGAUUACUCUAUGAAACUAAAUAGUAAUCUCUAACGCACAGUGGAGGAAUCCUCUGGACCCUUCUGCUGUGGAUAGGAUUUCCGUGGGUUUGUCCCAGUGUACUCAGCAGCGUUGCCGGUUGCCUGCCCCUCAGCUCGCCCUCGCAUUUAGCCCAACGGAUUUGGGAGUAGACCUGAGCACGUGCGUUUUGUUUUUCUGCUUGUUUAACAAGUGAAGCGGCCGUUUGUGUGUUUUCUGGCCCAUCGAGCCCGAGCAACGACCAGGCCUGCAACGGUUUCAGUACAUGAGCUCGCAAAGGUUACAAAUCUGGACUGAACUUAAAAGGAUUGUGGGAUAAAUGUGUUUUCUAAAACAUUGACUGUGAGCGUGAAGAGAAAACAUCCAAUUGAAUUGAAAGGCUGGACCCUGAUCCAAUCUAACAGGCAAUGCAAAUGUUAACAAACAGGCAUCUUGUGAACCAAAUAUGGUCAGAUAAUUUGGUAACUGCUGAAGUAAAUGAAGAGUUUGUUCACGUAAGCGCGAGCUUGCUACGUUAAAUGGAGGAAAGGAAUGACAAUGAGGACGCUGACGUUCAAAUGUUUGGUUCAAAGAUCAUCUUUAAUGGAUCUCGUGGGACUCAGAAUGUACAGUACUGUGCAUUGUAAAUUGUGCUUGUGCAAUAGUUUAUCAGUUGAAGCAUGCAACACAGAAGUUACAGAAUAAAUUCAACAAAUGUUUGCAUGUGUAAGAUGUGCUGCCUUAAAGUAACUCUGCUUAUUUUCUUCAUUCACUGUAAAAUUAUACUUAAAAAUGUAGAUCUCAGCACAGUUUGAAUCAUGCAAAGCUUAAAGUUUAAAGUAUGUUUUGUAUCGUACAUCAACCCAAAGAUGCAUCCAAUAAAUACAUAUUGAAACCCGUUAGAUAAUCAGGCCAUUGUUGUGUGAUGGGCUCACAGUUUAGUUCCCUGCACGUAGCCUGUUGCAGUCUCAUAUAGGUGCAGGUUAAAUGCACUAGGCAUGCGCCACACCUGAAGCAC